rnacentral:rRNA from 1 species
UACGUAGGGUCCGAGCGUUGUCCGGAGUUACUGGGCGUAAAGCGCGCGCAGGCGGCGGUGUUGGCCGGCGUGAAAGCCCCCGGCUCAACCGGGGAGGGUCGUCGGGACCGCACGCUUGAGGGCGGUAGGGGCUGGUGGAAUGCCUGGUGUAGUGGUGAAAUGCGUAGAGAUCAGGCGGAACACCCGUGGCGAAGGCGGCCAGCUGGGCCGUCCCUGACGCUGAGGCGCGAAGGCGUGGGGAGCG